CGUCCCGGCCAGAGCGCACCUGGCGCGGGGCGUCCUCGGGGCUUCUCGCCGUCGGCCGCCGGCGACCCGGCGCGGGUCUAGGGAGCCAGCGCGCGGCGGCCGGGAACGACCCCUCCCGUGGGUCCCUGGCACCCCAGCGGCAUCCGAGCGCGGAGCGGAGGGCCACGGACCGCGGGUGGCCUUGGCCUGCAGCAGCUUGAAGCAGGAUUUCGGUUCCCAGCCAGAGACUGAAGUCAGGCUGCGGCAGCGAGAGUGUUACCAAGUCCAGGCCCGCUCUGCUCAUCGCACGACGGGCCAAUAAAUCGGAGACCAGGUGCUGAGGUCAUCCAGAGGACCCAAGACAUGGUGACUACUAAUAUACUCUUUCCACAGUGCUUUUUAAUACCAUGUGGAGUCCUAUAAGGGCAAUUAGCAUUACAACUUUGGCUGAACUUGGUCUGGAUUACAUUCUGUGAUGCUCCAAGGACAGUGGUGCUCCAAGGACAAAGGACGACCCUGCCUGAAAAAGUUUCAGCCUUUCACCCCCUACCGGUCUCUUAAUUGCCCUCCCUACCAUGUUGUGAUGGUUAUGAAAUUCCUGAGCCCACCUGGGUGACAGGACCUGUCCCAAAUAAGGAAAGGAAUCUGCCCUGUCCCACUUGCACAUAGAAGGAAGGUAUAUGUGCCUCGACCAAUCAGUAAACAAAAUUUUCACCUUGGACCAUUCCUUUGUUUUCUGGCUGUAAAAACUGAUCAGUGUUCAGGCUUGUCUUGGUGGCAAGCUGGGGAAAAUCAUAGGAGAAGAUCCCAGGCCUGUUGUCUGUCAGCUUGGGAAUGAUGUUUGAACAGUGGCCAAUGUGCUUGGGUGCAGGUUGUGCGGGAAUAAUGAUACCCUCAUCCUGUCCUUUAUCUGGUCCACAAGUUGAGAGCAAAGAGCUCAGUACAGAGCUCUUGAUGUAAGGCUGUGCAUGGCAGACGGCCCGCAUAUCAGGUGUCUUGAGUGGUGGAUGACCUGUGACAAGAAGUUCUUGACAAAUUUUUUAGUGACUGUGUGGACAGUAAUUGGUUUGGAAGGAUGCUGUGGGAGAAGACACCACAAAUAUACAUUAUAUUCGAAUUACCUCUCAAUCAAGAGAAAAAAUAGAAGCAACAAAUAAAAAUAUUUGGCAACUAUGAAAUCAAAUUUCACUGAAAAAGAAACAAAAACAAUCAAUUUACAUAUGAAGAGGCACCCAACCUCAGUGAUGGUCGGGGAAAAUAAAUGACA